rnacentral:rRNA from 1 species
GACGACCGCUGGCGGCGUGCUUAACACAUGCAAGUCGAACGAAGUGGGAACGGGUGAGUAAUACGUGAGUAACCUCCCUCCUUUUUGGGAUAAGCCUUGGAAACGGGGUCUAAACCGGAUAUAUGGGCUCGCGGCCUAUCAGCUUGUUGGUGGUGUGAUGGCCUACCAAGGCGGUGACGGGGAGCCGGCCUGAGAGGGUGACAGGACACAUUGGGACUGAGACACGGCCCAGACGCCGACGGGAGGCAGCAGUGGGGAAUCGUCCGCAAUGGACGAAAGUCUGAAGGAGCAACGCCGCGGGAGGGAUGACGGCCUUCGGGUUGGAAAGCUCCGGUUAUCGGGACGCGGUACCGGAAUAGAAAGCCACGGCUAACUACGUGCCAGCAGCCGCGGUAAUAC